GAGAGCACGCAAGCGCAGCAUAAAAAUGUCACUGGAAAACAGUAUGGACGAAGAGUACGACGACAGUGGACCACAAUUUGACCCAGCUUCUUCGAUGGGAACACUGAAAAGGAUCAAGUUGGAAAGUGAUGGCCCGAUGGAUGGGUCGGCCACCAUCACCGGUGGUGGGCCUAACAGCCUUACCGAGCUGUUGCGAAGUAUCAAGAGUGGCUUGGACAUGCGCGCCCGAAGUGAAGAUAGUGGGGCGAGUUCGAGCGGGGUCGGGCCGGAUCGGACUGGUGGGGGAGGGAUCUACGGCGGCAGUGGUGGGGUGUGUGGCAGUGGCCUGAAUAAUAACAGUGACGCUUACAACAAUAACAACACCAACAACAAUAACAAUUCGAUCAAGACGAAGAUCGGCGAGGUGGAAGAGGCGAAAUUUAGUGAGUUUAGCAAAUUUUUGGGUGACAACGAGAAGGACGAGAACGUGACGACGGUGAUAGAGCUGCUGCAUGAAAACUAUGGAUUGAUUCAACGGUACGCCUCGGGCUACGACUGCAACCAGGAAAAGUGCCAGUACGAGAACCUGCACGAGCACUUCCACUGCUACGACACCUUCUGCCGGGGGAAGGUCCUGUACAAGAAGUACGAAAUCAUCCGGCACCUGAAGUGGCACAAGAAGCGCAAGGAGUCGCUCAAGUAUGGGUUCUAUCGGUUCUCGUCGUCGGACGACUGCAGCAUUCAGUACGGGCAGUGCCAGCAUAACCACAAGCACACGCACUACCACUGCGUGCACGAGAACUGUGAUAAGGUGUACAUUAGUACGAGCGAUGUGCAGAUGCAUGCCAACUACCACCGGAAGCACGAGGCAAUCGUUAAGAAUGGUUUUCAACGGUUUCGGGCUACGGAAGAGUGCAACACGGAUCAUUGUGCGUUCAAGGGACAAAAGACCACCCACUUCCAUUGUCGGAGGGAGAACUGCAAGUACACCUUCAAGAACAAAGCUGAUAUGGAAAAGCACAAAACCUAUCACCUGAAGGACGAGAUGCUGCUGCGCGAUGGAUACAAAAAGUUCCUCAAAACCGAAGACUGCACGUACAAAAACUGUCGCUUCUCGCGGGUUUGCAAUCACAUCCACUGUAUGCACGAAAACUGCCACUACGUGCUGCACUCCAGUGGCCAAUUGCUCAGUCACAAGCGCAAACACGAGCGUAUGGACACCGAGGUGGACUACCGAAAGUUGCAGAUGGCUCGCAAUUUGCUGAGCAAGUUCGGAAUGGGCCGCGAUGGGGAUGGUUCAUCCGGUGGCAAGGAAGAUGACGAAGUUCCGACGUCUCCGAACGCUGGAGAGAACGUAGCGCCGAGGAAUCCAGUUGUCGAACUGCUGGCUAUAAUGUCAGAGUUGACGUUUAGGACGCUUCCGCUGCAGAUAAUGCUUCACAUGCGAAUGCAAAUGCUUCAGAAUAUGGGGUAUGAUCAGGUCUUUGCACCGGAUAAUGUGGAGAGCUUGAAGAAUUUGGCGGAAAGUGGACUGAACGAAGAGUACUUGAAACAGUUGUAUAAGUUUAAUGAGAACAUUUGUCAGCUGAACGAACGUGCCAUGCUGGAUGUGAAUCCAGCGCUUUCCGAGCUAGCGAAGAGUCAAGGAAGUCCUACUCCCAGGAGUUAUACAAACGUAGGGGAGCACUACACCCAAUUCAAACGAAAACUGGAUGUUGAUCCGAUUGCUGGUCCAUCAACGCAAGCUCAAGAUCCAACAUUCUUCAAUCCAGCGUUAAACAAGUCAAAAUUACUGUCGAAUCCUUCGGUAGACUAUCGGCUUCUGAAGAAGGAUGAUUCAGGACUGGGUGAAGCCCCAGCAGAUACCAACAUCGUUGACCGACAAAAACCUUUACUGGAAAGUGCUAACUUCCUGCAGUUUAGCUCGAGCAAAACCUUGUUCAACCGGAAACGAGGUCGACCAAGGAAAAACCAUGUCAUGGAAGUGUACAACAAUGCUCAGGAUUCCCCACAGGCCAUAUUCACCAGUUUCAAGUUGGAGAAAAAUGACUCGAAAGCACCGAACCAGGACUGCCAUCGCGACAACACAGCAGAAUCAGACCUCAAACAUAGGAGAGACCUGCACAACAGAAGCGACGAGGAAGAUGGUGCCAAACGGCACCGCAGUUUGAGUCCCUCGAAAAUGUUCCUUCCCAUGUUGGAUGUUCCGUCGUCAUCGUCAUCGAUGCCCAUGUUUGCAACUCCGGAUUUUGGAGGGUUCUCACAAAUUUUGGAGAAACAUAUGCGGGAAAUCAAAGCCGAACCGAGUGCGACGGUCACCCAGCAGAUCGAUCUUUCCCACAAAGAUAAGUCCCGCAACCACUUGAAAUGCGUAGUUUGCAACAAUUCCUUCGAAACCUUCGCCGACAUCAAAGAGCACGAAUGCCACCAGGCCAAGGAAGCGGAAAAGCCCCUGCUCACUUUCCCACCCGGCUUAACAAUGCACCAACCACCCGCUUUUCGUAGUGCCUACCCACCGGAUGCGGAAACCAGUCGACUGAUCUACGCACCCACUCCGAUGGGUCUACCGGCUGCACCGUCCGCUGCCAAGGAAUCGAUUUCGCUGGUCAAAACCACCGGAACGUUUUUUCCGGACGUGAACGCCAACAAGUUGAAGUAUUUUUGAGAUUUUUUUUGUAGAGAUUCCACUAAGUAGGUAGGAUGUAAGAUAGAGGCUCAAAAUGUAGAAUUGUACGUACUAAGUGAAUUCAACAUACUGUGUCAUAGUGAAAUUGAGGAGAUCGACAAUGCCAUAUUUGUUUGGCCAUAAGAUAAUUCUAUAUAUUACACUCUUAAUUGCGAGAGUUAGUUAAGCAGAAGAUUUAGAAAAACAAUAUCGUAUUAGUAUUAGAGCAAAUGUAUUAUUUAUAAACGAGAGUCAAACGGUACUAAGAAGUUGAGAUCAUAAGAAUAUUUACUGUGAUUGAGACCUUCAAAAUACAGUAAUAGAACAUAGUUUGUAAAUUUUUAAUUGAAAAAUCUGUAAAUAAACUGUUGAAUCAUA